AGUCUGGGUCUGAGCUGAAACCUGCUGCAAGUCUGACGGUACCAAAUUACAUAUAUAUCUGUCAAAAUGAUGUAGGACCUAAAGUCUCUCUGUAAGUUGAUCCUUUUGACCCCAUGAUUAGGAGCUUCACAAUGUGGUACCACACCUGGAAACCUCCAGAACAAGAUCUCAAGGAAACACAGGAAAUUCCUGAAACAGCAAAACCCCCUAUGUGAAGACGUCUGUUAUUCCUUUGUGUAUCAGGAGCAUCACUGUUAAUUAACUGUUGAUACACUUAAAACAGCUUGGUUGGCAAUGUCCUUUUUGAAUAAAGAAGAGCCAGGUGUGUUUUUCAGGAUGAACUAGACAAUGCUGUCACAAGUUUACCUCUACAUCUUAUUGCCUUGGAAAAAUUUCCUGCAUAUCGUGGCACAAGAUGGUUGGCUCUCCAGGCAGCAGUUGGCGUUGUGAAUCAGUCAUCUCAGCAUGUGUCUCCAAGAUCCCACAGCAGGGGGAAAAAGAGGUGGAGGGUCACAUGCCUGGUGUUACAUACUUUGAGGCAGAGGUGGUAGGUGCCAUUUCUGCUCACAGCUCAUGGACCAGAACAAAGCCAUGCAUACCUGAGAGAGGACCAGAAAAUAUUCUGAAGCAGAUGGCUAUUUGGUGAGCAGUAAAUGUUUCUGUUACAACAGGUCUUGACAAACUUCAAAUGUACUCCUACUAGGCCUACUUCACACCACUAAACUCUGUACUUCCUGUUGCUUGAUGGCAUCUUAUGCUGAUGUUUUCUAUCAUAGUGUCCGGCACAAAACAAGAGCUCAAUACAUAUACUUAAUAGCGCAUUUAGAUCUAAGAGUUUCACUUUAUCAAAAGAUUUUAGUACCUACGUAGCUAUUGGGCCACAUCAGGAAAAUGUAACUGCUUCUACAACUGCAAAGAAAAUUUAACUAAUUGUAUGCUCAUCCCAGCUUCAGGUUUUUGUUUUGUUUUGUUUGCUAGCUUCUUUUUAUUUCAUAAUUUUUGCUUUGUUUUCUGCCCUUGAGCAGAGGUUCAUUUCUAGUUUUCACUGGAAUUAGAACAACAGUUGUGUCCAUAUGCAAUAACAGUGUUUCAAAUUCUUUGGGGAUUUGCCCACAGUGUCUGCAGUCAUAUUGUGACACCAGUUGUGAUGCCAGUCUCUGUAAAUCAGACUUAUUCCCAGUGAGACAUUAUAUAUUUUUGCAGCCAAUACGAUCUAUUUUAUAGCGAUUUAUAGCAUUGUCUCUGAAAAGGAUACUUUGAUUUGUGUCUUGUUUUUGUCAGUUUUCAACACUUUGAUUGUGGCCCAGGUUAAUUAAUAUUUUGUGUCUAGGUUUCCUCAUCUCUAAAAUAAAGAUGUUUAUUUCUAUAGCUUCAUGUUGACAAUUAAAUUAUAUAAUUUAUGUUACUCAACUAGCAAGUAAAUUGAUGUACAGUGUAUUUAUAAAUGAUAGAUACUAUCUUUAUGUUAAUUUUUAUUAUUGUCAUCAUUAUCAUCAAUUUUCAGGUCCGUGUUCUGACUAAAAGGAAGCCACACUCUGUCGAAAACAAGCUUUGUAAGAAAAUUUUGAAGUAUUUACUUAUAUCUAACCAUUCAUUCCACCUUUUCUCCCAAAUAACACUCUAAUAUCUUGAGACAUCUUGUCUAGGGCCAGAUUUCAUAAAUGCUUGUGAGGCAGGAGAAUAAGUUCCAGAGGCAGUUCACACUGCCUAAAGCCAAUUCACACUGACUUCCUAUAACUAAAUCUAAAGGAAAAUCUCAACUUUCCUCGCCCAAGUAACAAAAGAAUCAGAGGUUAUACUCCCUUUGCAACCUGCCCCUUUUCUGCCUGGCAGAUGAAAAAUGAAAAGUACCUAUGACUGGUCCCCUCCCACGACCAGCCAGACUGGUCACGGAUCACUACUUCAUUUACAUAGGGCGUAAACCGAGUAACCAAUGGGAAACCUCUAGAGGGUAUUUAAACCCCAGAAAAUUCUGUAACCGGUGGUCUCCAGCAGGUUGCUCAAUCUUGCUGCCACUCUGUGGGAUGUACUUUUGUUUCAAUAAAUCUGUGCUCUUCCUUCGUG
rnacentral:lncRNA from 10 species